rnacentral:tRNA from 1 species
GGCCUAUAGCUCAGCUGGUUAGAGCGCAACGCCUGAUAAGCGUGAGGUCGAUGGUUCGAGUCCA